AUGAGUGACCCCCUUCUCUCCUGUGUGAUCCUCUGGCUACUUCAGGCAGGUCUCGGCCAGGCUGGUGUCACUCAGAUGCCUACAUUCCAGCUCCUAAAGACAGGACAGAGUGUGACACUAAUGUGUGUCCAAGAUAUGAAGCAUGACUACAUGUACUGGUACAGACAAGAUGAGGGACAAGGCCUGAAGCUGAUCUAUUACUCCAAUGAAGAUAAUAUCGUGGAUAAAGGAGAAGUGGCAGACGGGUACAGCGUCAUUAGAAAGAAGACCGAGAGCUUCCCCCUCACGCUGGAGUCGGCUGCGCCCUCCCAGACAUCUGUGUACUGGUGUGCCAGCAGUCUGUCCACAGUGCUGCAGGGCUGUCUCCUCUCUGCACACAAACACUGCCCUGCCCCCAACCCCAGGCCAUAA